GGAAAGAACUCCAUUAAGGCACAGGUAAUUAACAAACCCCUUGAUUUUCAGGAUAGCUCAUAGUAGACAUGGCUGGCAGUAUGGUCCAGGCUGGAACCGCCAGUUCCAGUUCAGUCCAGUUUUGGUAAAAACAAUGGUUAUUUCUUUUUAAAUGAAAAAACCGGUUCGGCCUGGAACUGUACUGACCAAUCCAGUCCGGUUCAAGGCCAAUUUUGGUCUAUCCGGG
rnacentral:misc_RNA from 1 species